AUGUGCUGCCGUCCCGGGUGUGCUGUGUCCCUCAUGGGCCACCAUCCCUGUCCCCUGUGUGCCACCCUGUGCCCAGUGUCCUGUGCCUGUCGCCGUGCCUGUGUCACCCGUGUGUUGCCAUCCUUGUGCUGCCGUCCCUGGUUCCCCGUCCCCGUUGUCCCCCGCGUCCCACUGUCCCUGUAUCCUCCCUCUGCUGCCAUCCCUGCGCCACGUGUCCGCUGUGCGCUGCCACCCUGCGUGUCCAGCCGUGUCGCCAACCCUGUCCCGCGUCCUCUGUGCUGCCAUCCCUGCUGUCCUGUGUCUCCAUGUCGCUAUCCCCGCGUCCCCCUUGCGCUGCCAUCCGUGCUGCCCUGUGUCCCGGUCCCUGUGUCGCCAUCCCUGUGUCCCCCCCUUGUGCUGCCAUCCCUGCUGCCCUGUGUCUCCAUGUCGCUAUCCCCGUGUCCCCCUUGUCCUGCCGUCCCCGUGUCGCCAUCCCCGUUGUGCUGCUAUCCCUGCUGCCUUGUGUCUCCAUGUCGCCAUCCCCGCGUCCCGCUUGUCCUGCCGUCCCCGUGUCGCCAUCCCCGCGUCCCCCUUGCGCUGCCAUCCCCGCUGCCAUGUGUCCCCGUGUCGCCAUCCCCGUGUCCCCGUGUCGCCAUCCCCGCGUCCCCCCACCCCGUGCUUCCGCAUCCCUCCUCUUUCCCCGUCCCUCCCCGUGUCCCCUCCCCUGUCGCCGUGUCCCCGCCCCGCCAUGGCGCCGCUGGCGGACCUGUACCAGGUGUCCAUGGCCUACGGGCACUGGCGGGCGGGCAGGCACCGCGCCCCGGCCGCCGGGGGGGGGGGGGGGGGGGGGGGGGGGGGGGGGGGGGGGGGGGGGGGGGGGGGGGGGGGGGGGGGGGGGGGGGGGGGGGGGGGGGGGGGGGGGGGGGGGGGGGGGGGGGGGGGGGGGGGGGGGGGGGGGGGGGGGGGGGGGGGGGGGGGGGGGGGGGGGGGGGGGGGGGGGGGGGGGGGGGGGGGGGGGGGACGGCGAGGGGCGCGUCCCAGCGCCACUUUGAGGGACGGGGGAGCAGCUCCCGGGAGGAGAGGAUGGUUUUGGGGAGCGAUGGUGGGAGAGGGGAAAGGGAGGAACCUUCCCCGGGAAACUUUGGAGCAAGUCCAGGGGACAGGAGGGGACAGCGAGGAGCGGUGGAAAUUCGCCCCCGGGGGGAGGAUGGGGGAGCAACUCAAAGGGACUUGUCAAGGAUGGGACGGUAUCCAGGGGUGUCGGGAUGUUUCAGGGGGACUUAA
ensembl:lncRNA